GUGGGGUGAGAAUGCGAAGGGAAGGGGAGGUGGGGCUGUCUUCGAAACUUCGAAAGUCUGUGAAGGUGAAAAAGUAAAGUAAAAAUUAGGAUUAAUUAAUUAAGAGAGUUAAAAAAGUAAAAAAAAAAUAAAAGAAAGGUUAGUUUUAUAAUUAAGGAAAAGUCAAAAAGAAAUGGGGAGGUGGAGGGUGGAAUUGGGGAGGUGGAGGGAUCAAUGCCCUUUCAGAUUUAUACCUCAUUUUGUUUGUAAGUUUAGUUGGGCCGUUUUGGUCCUUCUUUUCGUACCCAUAUUUUAUGUUUCCACCAUUAUAGAGUUUGAUGUGUUGUGGGUGGAACAAUAUUUGCUAUGGUGCACCCCCUUUGAUUUUUCUCAACCCUAUUUGUUUGAUUUUAUUGCCUGGGCUGGGCCAUUAUUUACAUUUGCUAUUUAGUUUUUUUCUUAUCUUGUUAUGUUGGGUCCUUUUUGCACACCACACCAUUGCCUCGAUUGUUUUUAUUACUAGACCUUUUGGUAUUAAAAAAAUAUUAAAGACACGCACACACAUGAAUAUCCUUGUGUUUGUUCAAUCGCUCGCAUAGUGGACAAUAUUUUUAAAU
rnacentral:lncRNA from 1 species